GGAGUCGGCUAGACAGUCGCUGUGCCGCAAGGCACAGAGGAAAGUCCGGGCUCCAAUGGGCAGAGUGCCAGGUAACGCCUGGGCGGCGCAAGCCGACGGAAAGUGCCACAGAAAAUAUACCGCCUACGUUCGCAAGAACCGGUAAGGGUGAAAUGGUGCGGUAAGAGCGCACCGCGUCGCUGGCAACAGCGGCGGCACGGCAAACCCCACUCGGAGCAAGACCAAAUAGGGGAACAUUGGCGUGGCCCGCGCCGUUCCCGGGUAGGUUGCUAGAGGCGCAUGGCGAUGUGCGUCCCAGAGGAAUGACUGUCCACGACAGAACCCGGCUUAUCGGCCGGCUCCCAUU
rnacentral:RNase_P_RNA from 2 species